CAGGAAUAAGCACGGCUGGUUAUUAUUUUUAACACCUUGUUCAAUUGUCUUGCAUUAACUGAUGGAAACUCCCACAAAUUCUUCCAAAAUAAAGCAAAGCCUCUCUGUGCGCAUUUAGCCUGUCACUUUCAUUUCCACUGUACAUUCAUCAGGCCGGGGACGCGUCUAAAUGCAUAGCAAAAAUACAAUUUAUAGCAAUUAUGGCCAUAAUGGCAGGAAGGCAGAGAAGAAGCGUCUUCUCUUAUCACCGCCUCUCAUUCACCCCGGCAUUAAGCCCAUCAGCUUCCUGACAGGUAUGUUUUCCAAACCCAGCUUCUAAUUAGACCGACACGUACUGUCAGUAUCUCGUUAUGCACGCCAGCUCCACUAUAGUUAACGUGAUUAAAUCGCAGUCUGCCGCAGAACAAAGAGGUAAACGUGUGCUUUUAUACGUAACGUGCGGCAGAACGGAACCUGCCAGACCGCCACCUGAAGCCGUUUUUGGAUCCAGGACAGCUGACAAAUCUGCGUUUUCCUCCUGAAAUAUCAUCGUCUGUUCGUCCCUGCCUGGCAGAUGGCGGCGGAUCUCCCGCCAGCGGGUCACGUGCGCUUUUUUGCGUCGGUUACUUCGGUUGCGCAUAUUGACUGGAGUGGAAGCGACACCUGAAGAAGAAUGGGGGAGUAUUAAGAAACCCCCACAAAGAGCGGCAUGCCACUCCGAGCUGACUUUUCUCCAAAUGCCAGGACUGUUUUCAUGCCUCAGGAAGUAUGCAGGGAUCAAAUGUGCACCGGCGAAGAGGGAGAAUGUGUCACCAGCGCUACCCAAAAAACAGAGCGACUCCCAGGAUGUGGGGGCUGAUCAGACUGAUACGGGUCCCUUCGAUAACGGCGUCACUUUUCUGAUUGGUGUUGACUUUGCCACUGACAGAUAAGACUUUGCUGCCUACGGGACCUUUUGAUCUCUGCAUUCAAACUGUUCCCAAAAGAUUCUCUAGGCCAGAAAAAUUCACAAACAUUCAAAAAUAAAAAUGGCCCCUUUUUGUCUCUCUGGCCCCAUGUAC
rnacentral:lncRNA from 1 species